UGGGAUCCAACUCUGGCCUCUUCGUCCCGCCCCCGCAGAUCGCAGUCCCCGCCCUCGAACGCGCCCCUUCUUGGCCUGGACACGCCCCACGCCCAUCCACAGGCUCCGCCCUUCCUCUGCACCCUGCACCCUGCCCAAAACCCACGCCUGGCGGUCUCUCCGCCCCCCGACUCUAGUGCGCCAGAGUGCUCGUUGGUUCCCUGCUGCGACCUUGGCCCAAGCUUGGCGGAGCCAAAACUGUUUCCGGAUCUGCAGUCGAACCAACCACACGCGACGGACCCGUACCUCGAGGGAGAGCCUAGUUGUAUCAGGAGCAAACAGCACCUCCUUUAAGAAAACCAUAAAGCAACUCAGUGAGCAAACAUUCCUUGGGAACAUUAGUUAGUAGAGAGAUGCCAGUAACGCACCUGGCCCCGGGUUUGGACUCCCGAGCCGGAUGCUUUUGAUGCCCACUCCCCGUGCCGACCAGGUCGCCACACCCGGUUGAGACUCACGCUUAAGCGCUCCUGCCGGCAACACGAUCUUGCUCAGAAGUACCAAAAUAGAAGACUACCACAGAGAGGUGUUUGAUUACACAUCACGGAUGACUGUCGCCAGCCAAUUUAGCAAAGACAAAAACGGCAGCAUGCCCCAAUCCGUUGUGAAGUCAUGAGCGUCUCACGGUGUAGCCCAGGCUGGCCCGCCUCAAACUUCUUGUCUUCCCACCCCUGCUUCCGGAGUGCCAACACAGGCAAGAGCCAUCACAGCCGACUUUUAAUCUAAUCGAUUUGGAAAGCAUCCCAGAUAAGUUGUACAAGAUGAAAUUUGGGACUCAAGCAGUGUUUUUGAAAUUCAUGUUUUGAACUUUGCAUCCAGGAAGGUUCUUUGGCAGAAUGAAGGAGCCUGGGAUUCCAAGAUGAGCGGAAUAAAUGAAUUCCCGUGUGUAUUCUGCUGCCCUCCCAUGGCUCUAGUAGUAACUGUCUUACUACUGUGUAAGUCUGAGAAUAAUAUUCAGUGAUUUAUAUUAUUUUGGUGACUAGGAAGUCAACAUAAAAUCGGGUUCUUAGCAAAUAAACCCUCACCAAACAGAAUUUUUAACUUCAGAAACCAGGAAGAGGAGUCUUACACCACCGCUAGUACAAACACGUCCUAAGGGACACACCUAAGCUCACGGCUACUUGUGCAGAAAGGGAAAACAUGCAUGAAUUUGCUCUCACUCCAUUCUGAGAUGUCUUGAGGAGUUCCCUUUUCACAUAUCCUGUAGCCUCAAGGGUGAUCAGCUUGAAGGAGAAUAAAAACGUCUUUUCACUGUUGGUGUCUAUGAUGGUAUCUGAUAGCUUGGUCUAUAACCACUUUUUUAA